AUGGCCUGGGCUCCUGUCCUCCUCGUGAUCCUCUCUCACUGCUCAGUUUUGCUCUCCCAGCCUGUGCUGACUCAGCCGCCCUCCCUCUCUGCAUCCCUGGGAGCAUCAUCCAGACUCAGCUGCACUCUGAGCAGUGGCUUUGGGGUUGGGGACUUUCCUAUACGUUGGUACCAGCAGAAGACAGGGAGCCCUCCCCGGUACCUCCUGUACUACUACUCAGACUCAGAUAAGCACCAGGGCUCUGGAGUCCCCAGCUGCUUCUCUGGAUCCAAAGAUGCCUUGGCCAAUGCAGGGAUCCUACAGAUCUCUGGGCUUCAGGCUGAGGAUGAGGCUGACUAUAAUUGUCAGAUAUGGCACAGCAACUCUAAUGCUUACAUUUUUGGACUUGGCACUCAGUUGACC